AGGCGUUUGAGGGGCUCUCGGAGGGAGGUGACAGGGAGGGGUGCGUGUGCGUGCGUGUGGGGCUUCUGUGUCCAGAGGUCUGGGGGUGACGUCCUUUGUUUUGGGCAGGAGGCGGGCUGGGGGCUUGCGGGACCUGUGGGCGCUGCGGGGACGCGGCGUCGAUGCUCAAGAAACCAGAAACUCGGCUUGAGGAGUUGCUGCUUUUUUGUCGGAAGGUCUUCAAAUGAGAGUAAAGCGUUAAGAGCCUCACUCCUGAGUCUUUUUUUUUUUUUAAGAUAAAAACUAUACUAGAGUCCAGCGACUUCUUACCACUCUGAAUGUGAGUAACAAAUUGUGAAUCAAAGCCCGAAUCCCCGUGGAAUUCAUUCCGAGGCUGAUUGCAAUCACUUGGAGUCGGGCGCGUCCUACCUAAACCAGGCAGUUUAUGGCAAAUACCUGCCUUGACCGUGCUUAAAUUAGUGAACUUUUGGGCACCAACUGGUCGAUUUACCAUAGAAAUUGGUAGUUGCUGCAAAAAGAAAAUGUUGCUGAAGUGCUGCUGAAAGGGCCAGAGAUGCAAGGAUUUGGGAUACAUUUUGAACCUUUAAGCUGUCUGACAUUGACCUCCUUUCAUUAUUAAUAAAGAAGAAUCAGGAGCUUAGGAUGUAUUAACACCAACUCAUUAAUAUACUAACCGGACAAUGUUCUACAAACAAUUCUACAUUGUAAAGGACUGGAUUGGCACAAAAUAAAAUAAUUUUAUUUUAUUCAGCUUAUAAUAUGACUCGAUGGAGGAAAAUUUGAUAAGCAUGAGAGAAGACCAUUCUUUUCAUGUUCGUUACAGAAUGGAAGCUUCUUGCCUAGAGCUGGCCUUGGAAGGGGAACGUCUAUGUAAAUCAGGAGACUGCCGCGCUGGCGUGUCAUUCUUUGAAGCUGCAGUUCAAGUUGGAACUGAAGACCUAAAAACACUUAGCGCUAUUUACAGCCAGUUGGGCAAUGCUUAUUUCUAUUUG
rnacentral:lncRNA from 1 species